GGCAACGGAGGUCGACUAGCAUGCGAGUCGAAUGUAGCAAUACAUGGCGUACUGCUCAGUAACACGUGGAUAAUCUACCCUUAGGUCUGGAAUAACCCCGGGAAACUGGGGAUAAUACCGGAUAGAUCAUAGAUGCCGGAAUGCCCUAUGUUCUAAAGCUCCGGCGCCUAAGGAUGAGUCUGCGGUCUAUCAGGUUGUAGUGGGUGUAACGUACCUACUAGCCGACGACGGAUACGGGUUGUGAGAGCAAGAGCCCGGAGAUGGAUUCUGAGACAUGAAUCCAGGCCCUACGGGGUGCAGCAGGCGCGAACACUUUACAAUGCGGGAAACCGCGAUAAGGGAACCCCGAGUGCCAGCACCAAGUGUUGGCUGUCCAGAUGAUUAAAUCUCAUUUGUUAGCAAGGGCCGGGCAAGACCGGUGCCAGCCGCCGCGGUAACACCGGCGGCCCGAGUGGUAACCGUUUUUAUUGGGUCUAAAGGGUCCGUAGCCGGUUUGAUCAGUCUUUUGGGAAAUCUGGCAGCUUAACUGUCAGGCUUCUAAGAGAUACUGUCAGGCUUGGGACCGGGAGAGGUAAGGGGUACUCCAAGGGUAGGAGUGAAAUCUUGUAAUCCUUGGGGGACCAUCUGUGGCGAAGGCGCCUUACCAGAACGGGUCCGACGGUGAGGGACGAAAGCUAGGGGAGCAAACCGGAUUAGAUACCCGGGUAGUCCUAGCUGUAAACGAUGCUCGCUAGGUGUCAGGCACGGUGCGUCCGUGUUUGGUGCCGUAGGGAAGCCGAGAAGCGAGCCACCUGGGGAAGUACGGUCGCAAGGCUGAAACUUAAAGGAAUUGGCGGGGGAGCACUACAACGGGUGGAGCCUGCGGUUUAAUUGGAUUCAACGCCGGG
rnacentral:rRNA from 1 species